rnacentral:tRNA from 1 species
GCUCGCCUUGUGUAGUGGUUAUCACGUUUCCCUUCGAUGACAGAAGGAAAAGGUCCUGGGUUCGAGUCCCAGGGCGGGUU